AUUGAACGCUGGCGGUAGGCCUAACACAUGCAAGUCGAACGCGAAAGUCCUUCGGGAUGAGUAGAGUGGCGGACGGGUGAGUAACGCGUAGGAAUCUAUCCAGUAGUGGGGGAUAACGUUUCGAAAGGAACGCUAAUACCGCAUACGCCCCAAGGGGGAAAGCGGGGGAUCUUCGGACCUCGUGCUAUAGGAGGAGCCUGCGUCGGAUUAGCUAGUUGGUGAGGUAAAGGCUCACCAAGGCGACGAUCCGUAGCUGGUCUGAGAGGAUGAUCAGCCACACCGGAACUGAGACACGGUCCGGACUCCUACGGGAGGCAGCAGUGGGGAAUAUUGCGCAAUGGGCGAAAGCCUGACGCAGCCAUACCGCGUGUGUGAAGAAGGCCUUCGGGUUGUAAAGCACUUUCAGUGGGGAGGAAAAGCUGGUGGCUAAUAUCCAUCGGCCGUGACGCUACCCACAGAAGAAGCACCGGCUAAUUCCGUGCCAGCAGCCGCGGUAAAAC
rnacentral:rRNA from 1 species